CGCUAGCUGCUCUGCACUAACU
rnacentral:miRNA from 2 species